CAACCUGCCGUCUACUCUUGGACAGCCUUCUGAAAGGAAGAUUAAUACAAGAUGGCAUCAUGAGUCCACAUGUUCACAUGAUUAAAGGUAUUCCGGUAGACGAUGGGGAUGCGUUCCAUUAGAUAGUAGGCGGGGUAACGGCCCACCUAGUCUUCGAUGGAUAGGGGUUCUGAGAGGAAGGUCCCCCACAUUGGAACUGAGACACGGUCCAAACUCCUACGGGAGGCAGCAGUGAGGAAUAUUGGUCAAUGGGCGAGAGCCUGAACCAGCCAAGUAGCGUGAAGGAUGACUGCCCUAUGGGUUGUAAACUUCUUUUAUAAAGGAAUAAAGUCGGGUAUGGAUACCCGUUUGCAUGUACUUUAUGAAUAAGGAUCGGCUAACUCCGUGCAGCAGCCGCGGUAAUACGGAGGAUCCGAGCGUUAUCCGGAUUUAUUGGGUUUAAAGGGAGCGUAGAUGGAUGUUUAAGUCAGUUGUGAAAGUUUGCGGCUCAACCGUAAAAUUGCAGUUGAUACUGGAUAUCUUGAGUGCAGUUGAGGCAGGCGGAAUUCGUGGUGUAGCGGUGAAAUGCUUAGAUAUCACGAAGAACUCCGAUUG
rnacentral:rRNA from 1 species